GGGCUAGCGACAGGGCUUACACAUGCAAGUCGAGGGGCAGCAUAAAAGUAGCAAUACUUUGGUGGCGACCGGCGCACGGGUGAGUAACGCGUAUGCAACCUACCUAUCAGAGGGGAAUAACCCGGCGAAAGUCGGACUAAUACCGCAUAAAACAGGGGCACCGCAUGGUGAUAUUUGUUAAAGAAAUUCGCUGAUAGAUGGGCAUGCGUUCCAUUAGGUAGUUGGUGAGGUAACGGCUCACCAAGCCGACGAUGGAUAGGGGAACUGAGAGGUUGGUCCCCCACACUGGUACUGAGACACGGACCAGACUCCUACGGGAGGCAGCAGUGAGGAAUAUUGGUCAAUGGGCGGGAGCCUGAACCAGCCAAGUCGCGUGAAGGAAGAAGGAUCUAUGGUUCGUAAACUUCUUUUGCAGGGGAAUAAAGUGCGGGACGUGUCCUGUUUUGUAUGUACCCUGAGAAUAAGGAUCGGCUAACUCCGUGCCAGCAGCCGCGGUAAUACGGAGGAUCCGAGCGUUAUCCGGAUUUAUUGGGUUUAAAGGGUGCGUAGGUGGUUUGAUAAGUCAGCGGUGAAAGUUUGCAGCUUAACUGUAAAAAUGCCGUUGAAACUGUCGGACUUGAGUGUAAAUGAGGUAGGCGGAAUGCGUGGUGUAGCGGUGAAAUGCAUAGAUAUCACGCAGAACUCCGAUUGCGAAGGCAGCUUACUAAGCUACAACUGACACUGAAGCACGAAAGCGUGGGGAUCAAACAGGAUUAGAUACCCUGGUAGUCCACGCAGUAAACGAUGAUUACUAGCUGUUUGCGAUACACAGUAAGCGGCACAGCGAAAGCGUUAAGUAAUCCACCUGGGGAGUACGCCGGCAACGGUGAAACUCAAAUGAAUUGACGGAAGGGCGA
rnacentral:rRNA from 1 species